rnacentral:rRNA from 1 species
CCUACGGGUGGCAGCAGUGGGGAAUAUUGCACAAUGGGGGAAACCCUGAUGCAGCGACGCCGCGUGAAUGAAGAAGUAUUUCUGUAUGUAAAGCUCUAUCAGCAGGGAAGAAAAUGACGGUACCUGACUAAGAAGCUCCGGCUAACUACGUGCCAGCAGCCGCGGUAAUACGUAGGGAGCAAGCGUUAUCCGGAUUUACUGGGUGUAAAGGGAGCGUAGACGGCCAGACAAGUCAGAAGUGAAAGCCCAGGGCUCAAACCUGGGACUGCUUUUGAAACUGCCGGGCUGGAGUGCAGGAGAGGUAGGCGGAAUUCGUGGUGUAGCGGUGAAAUGCGUAGAUAUUAGGAAGAACACCAGUGGCGAAGGCAGCUUACUGGACUGUAACUGACGUUGAGGCUCGAAAGUGUGGGGAGCAAACAGGAUUAGAUACCCUGGUAGUC